UGGGGAAUAUUGGGCAAUGGGCGCAAGCCUGACCCAGCAACGCCGCGUGAAGGAAGAAGGCUUUCGGGUUGUAAACUUCUUUUCUGAGGGACGAACAGAUGACGGUACCUCAGGAAUAAGCCACGGCUAACUACGUGCCAGCAGCCGCGGUAAUACGUAGGUGGCAAGCGUUAUCCGGAUUUAUUGGGUGUAAAGGGCGUGUAGGCGGGAGUGCAAGUCAGAUGUGAAAACUAUGGGCUCAACCCAUAGCCUGCAUUUGAAACUGUACUUCUUGAGUGCUGGAGAGGCAAUCGGAAUUCCGUGUGUAGCGGUGAAAUGCGUAGAUAUACGGAGGAACACCAGUGGCGAAGGCGGAUUGCUGGACAGUAACUGACGCUGAGGCGCGAAAAGCGUGGGGAGCAAAACAGGAUUAGAUACCC
rnacentral:rRNA from 1 species